AACGAACGCUGGCGGCAUGCCUAACACAUGCAAGUCGAACGAAGCCUUCGGGCUUAGUGGCGCACGGGUGCGUAACGCGUGGGAAUCUGCCCUUGGGUUCGGAAUAACAGUUAGAAAUGACUGCUAAUACCGGAUAAUGUCUUCGGACCAAAGAUUUAUCGCCCAGGGAUGAGCCCGCGUAGGAUUAGCUAGUUGGUGAGGUAAAGGCUCACCAAGGCGACGAUCCUUAGCUGGUCUGAGAGGAUGAUCAGCCACACUGGGACUGAGACACGGCCCAGACUCCUACGGGAGGCAGCAGUGGGGAAUAUUGGACAAUGGGCGAAAGCCUGAUCCAGCAAUGCCGCGUGAGUGAUGAAGGCCUUAGGGUUGUAAAGCUCUUUACCCGGGAUGAUAAUGACAGUACCGGGAGAAUAAGCCCCGGCUAACUCCGUGCCAGCAGCCGCGGUAAU
rnacentral:rRNA from 1 species